rnacentral:rRNA from 1 species
AUUGAACGCUGGCGGCGUGCAUAACACAUGCAAGUCGAACGAAGUGGCGGACGGGUGAGUAAAGCGUGAGUAACCUGCCUUAGAGAAGGGGAUAGCCUUUGGAAACGAAGAAUAAUACACUAUGCUCAAAGAUGGACUUGCGUCUGAUUAGUUAGUUGGUGGGGUAACGGCCCACCAAGACAGCGAUGAGUAGCCGGCUUGAGAGAGUGUACGGCAACAUUGGGACUGAUACACGUGCCAUACUCUACGGGAGGCAGCAGUGGUGAAUUUUGCACAAUGGGGGAAACCCUGAUGCAGCGACGCCGCGUGAUUUAGAAGGCCUUCGGGUUGUAAAAAUCUUUUCUAUGGGAAGCAUUACCAUAGGAAUAAGGACCGGCUAAUUACGUGCCAGCAGCCGCGGUAAUAC